rnacentral:piRNA from 1 species
UCUUUCUCUUUUGCAACCGCAUGACAG